UGGGAGAGAAGCUCUAAACCCUAACUUUGAUGGCUACCUCUGAUAAUGAUUUCUUCUCUUCUCUUCUCUCCCGCAGGGGUGGAGGGGCCUUGGUUAUAUAGUCCUUUCAAGUGAAUUUGGGCCGUUGGAUCAAACCGACAUUGAUUGUAUGGUUUAGAUUCAUCCUUUAGGUCGGUGGAGCGUAGUCCCAAAAGAGAGUCCUGAUCCAACUCUAACAGGGGGCGGGCGCCCAGGUCAACUGGGCGGGCGCCCAGUACCUGGCCCCGUUCAGCCUCCGCUUCCUUCCCGUGGCUUCUGGAGUCUUCUAGAUUGAGGAAAAUUGCGCGGCACGUAAUUAUCUCGUUGUAAACAUGACAUGUGGGCCUUCUCUCCAUAUUCUCUGAUAACCCCCUGCAGAAAUAGAUAAACACCAAAGCUCGUGGAAUUCUGUCAGAUAAAACCCUAAUUCUAGAUGUUUAGUGCAUAUUGAUCCUUUUCCAUAUUUAUUUGAUUGUUAAUUUUAGUACUUAAGGACCGUGAACAAACUCGCCCAAGCUUACCCUUUGCUCGUCCCUGAGCAAACAGCUAAACUCAGAUGGAUCAGGAGUUGCUUCGAUGUUUUCUUUCAUGACAGGCACACAUGCUUUUAUAAAAAAAUUCUUCCAGAUUAGAGUGAAGUGUUAUGGAGUUUAGUACCUGCACUUAAGUAUUAAGUAAUUGAAAGACAAAAUAAUUAAGCAAGCACUAUUCCUCCUGUCUAUACUUCACCUUUGUUCGAGAGUUUUUCAUAAGUUUUCAAAAUAAAACUCAGAGUUCCUAGCAAUGAUUCUCUCAAGUCUCUCUAUAUGUGGUAUUUGUGGAUCCUUACCAAAAAUGUCACUUACCUAUAGCUAAUGGAAUAUUUAAGUGGAGCUCAUAGGAGUGAAAAAUAGCUCAUACAUAUGUUGUCUAAUCGAGCCAUGGAUCCAAAAGGAACUCAGCAUAUAAUUAAAUCAAGAUGUGCAUGUGUGGUGGAGUAAAUGAUAGUGAUGGUGAAAAUAUAUAAGUGAUAAUAACACUUACUUCUCAUUGUUCCUCAUAUUGCUAUCUCUCCUUUUCUUUGAUCUUUGCUUUGGGAGAACAUGGGCUAUCUUUUUUUCUCUUUCUUUUUUUUUCAGGUGGGUAGUAGAUACCCCUAAUUCUUCUAUCGGACACUUGUCCAUUUUUUCCGCUCAAGUGGGCAUCUUUGUACCCCUAAUUCUACUCCGGACACUUGUCCAUUUUUACCUCUCGUCUCACUCUUUUUCUUUCUUUUCUGAGGUUCUGGGCACUUGCCCCUUUUAUUUCCUCGCAUAUUUUUGCAUAACCCAUGCCUCUUCUACAUUGAAUUUUUUGAGAGAGAGAAUAACAACAUUUGGGACAGUGAGUGAUAAUAUAUAUUUAACAAUUUUAAUGAAUGGUGGUGGAUAGUGUAGUAGAUGUGUGCAAGUGAAUAUCUUAAUUUAACCACAUGAAAAGCUCCUAAGGGUCUACACAGCUCGAUCAAACUCAAUGUGAAUAAAAGAUGUUAUAGCAAGUAUGGCUGUGGUAGAUAGUUUGUAAUGCUAGGAACUCAUCAUGUGAUUUGUAAGUUUCCAAAAUAAAUCUCCAGAACUUAGUGUAGUAGGAAUAAGAUAAACAGCAGCUCAAACUUUAUAUUAUGUCCUUCUCUUACCUAGACUUUAGUUUUAUGCUUCCCAUAGAUAUUAAAUUCAGUUUUAGUAAUUCCUGGAAGAACUCUAACAUAAAAGCUAGGUACUAGUAAGAAAGCAAACAGAGCAACUGUUCAUCAUUUCCAUCAUGCAUCUUUUUGGUCUUUUUAUUUUUCUACAGAUUAACCUUAGCAGAUAAAUAAAGCACACUUAUCUACACACUCUUUUUAUUUUGUUUUCAUGUUUAUAAAAUGCAG
rnacentral:lncRNA from 1 species